GCCAGGCAUGGCGGCGCAUGCCUGUAAUCCCAGCUACUCGGGAGGCUGAGGCAGGAGAAUUGCUCGAACCCAGAGGCAGAGGUUGCAGUGAGCUGAGUUCAUGCCACUGCACUCCAGUCUGGGUGACACAGCAAUACUCUGUCUCAA
rnacentral:SRP_RNA from 1 species